rnacentral:rRNA from 1 species
AGUGAACGCUGGCGGUAGGCCUAACACAUGCAAGUCGAACGGCAGCACAGUAAGAGCUUGCUCUUACGGGUGGCGAGUGGCGGACGGGUGAGGAAUACAUCGGAAUCUACUUUUUCGUGGGGGAUAACGUAGGGAAACUUACGCUAAUACCGCAUACGACCUACGGGUGAAAGCAGGGGAUCUUCGGACCUUGCGCGAUUGAAUGAGCCGAUGUCGGAUUAGCUAGUUGGCGGGGUAAAGGCCCACCGAGGCGACGAUCCGUAGCUGGUCUGAGAGGAUGAUCAGCCACACUGGAACUGAGACACGGUCCAGACUCCUACGGGAGGCAGCAGUGGGGAAUAUUGGACAAUGGGCGCAAGCCUGAUCCAGCCAUACCGCGUGGGUGAAGAAGGCCUUCGGGUUGUAAAGCCCUUUUGUUGGGAAAGAAAAGCAGCAGGUUAAUACCCCGCUGUUCUGACGGUGCCCAAAGAAUAAGCACCGGCUAACUUCGUG